CCUACGGGAGGCAGCAGUGGGGGAUAUUGCACAAUGGGGGGAACCCUGAUGCAGCGACGCCGCGUGGGUGAAGAAGCGCCUCGGCGCGUAAAGCCCUGUCAGCAGGGAAGAAAAUGACGGUACCUGAAGAAGAAGCCCCGGCUAACUACGUGCCAGCAGCCGCGGGAAUACGUAGGGGGCAAGCGUUAUCCGGAUUUACUGGGUGUAAAGGGGGCGCAGACGGCGAUGCAAGCCAGGGGUGAAGGCCCGGGGCCCAACCCCGGGACUGCUCUUGGAACUGCGUGGCUGGAGUGCAGGAGGGGCAGGCGGAAUUCCUGGUGUAGCGGUGAAAUGCGUAGAUAUCAGGAGGAACACCGGUGGCGAAGGCGGCCUGCUGGACUACAACUGACGUUGAGGCCCGAAAGCGUGGGGAGCAAACAGGAUUAGAUACCCGUGUAGUC
rnacentral:rRNA from 1 species